rnacentral:rRNA from 1 species
UACGAAGGGGGCUAGCGUUGCUCGGAAUCACUGGGCGUAAAGGGUGCGUAGGCGGGUCUUUAAGUCAGGGGUGAAAUCCUGGAGCUCAACUCCAGAACUGCCUUUGAUACUGAAGAUCUUGAGUUCGGGAGAGGUGAGUGGAACUGCGAGUGUAGAGGUGAAAUUCGUAGAUAUUGGGAAGAACACCGGUGGCGAAGGCGGCCAACUGGACCACAACUGACGCUGAGGCGCGAAAGCGUGGGGAGCAAACAGG